rnacentral:rRNA from 1 species
AUUGAACGCUGGCGGCAGGCCUAACACAUGCAAGUAGAACGAGUGGCGGACGGGUGAGUAAUGUCUGGGAAACUGCCUGAUGGAGGGGGAUAACUACUGGAAACGGUAGCUAAUAUCGCACACCAUCAGAUGUGCCCAUAUGGGAUUAGCUUGUUGGUGGGGUAACGGCGCACCAAGGCGACGAUCCCUAGCUGGUCUGAGAGGAUGACCAGCCACACUAGAACUGAGACACGGUCCAGACACCGACGGGAGACAGCAGUGGGGAAUAUUGCACAAUGGGGGCAAGCCUGAUGCAGCCAUGCGGCGUGUAUGAAUAAGGCCUUCGGGUUGUAAAGUACUUUCAGCGUGGAGGCUUUACCCGCAGAAGAAGAACCGGCUAACUCCGUGCCAGCAGCCGCGGUAAUUC